UAGGGAAUCUUCCACAAUGGACGCAAGUCUGAUGGAGCAACGCCGCGUGAGUGAAGAAGGUCUUCGGAUCGUAAAGCUCUGUUGUUGGUGAAGAAGGAUAGAGGCAGUAACUGGUCUUUAUUUGACGGUAAUCAACCAGAAAGUCACGGCUAACUACGUGCCAGCAGCCGCGGUAAUACGUAGGUGGCAAGCGUUGUCCGGAUUUAUUGGGCGUAAAGCGAGCGCAGGCGGAAUGAUAAGUCUGAUGUGAAAGCCCACGGCUCAACCGUGGAACUGCAUCGGAAACUGUCAUUCUUGAGUGCAGAAGAGGAGAGUGGAACUCCAUGUGUAGCGGUGGAAUGCGUAGAUAUAUGGAAGAACACCAGUGGCGAAGGCGGCUCUCUGGUCUGCAACUGACGCUGAGGCUCGAAAGCAUGGGUAGCGAACAGGAUUAGAUACCCUGGUAGUCCAUGCCGUAAACGAUGAGCGCUAGGUGUUGGGGACUUUCCGGUUCUCAGUGCCGCAGCAAACGCAUU
rnacentral:rRNA from 1 species